rnacentral:lncRNA from 1 species
CUGUCGUGGCAUCACAGUGCUUGUGUGCAAGUAAUCUUUGACAUCACCUGCUCCUGACAUCAAACCAUCGACAUCCUCGAUCAUGGGUGGAUGAUCCUCUUUCUGACGUAUUGUCAGAUCAUCAAUAAUAGCCUCAUGCGGUGUCACAAUGCCCACAUGGUUCACUUCCCUUCAUCUCACCACGCAGGCACCAUACCAUCUCACGUCAUCACAAGAAGAAGAAGGGUGAGGACAGCACAGUAAGAUACUUGGAGAGAGAGAGACAACACAUUCACAGGGUACGUUCCAAGACCACCAGUGGAUGCCUGAAACUGCGCGUAGUACCAAACCCGAUAUGUACAGGGACUCCAGAGGCUACUCAGCUAAGAAGACAUUGUCACAGAUGGAAGGAGCCAGAUCCCCAAAUCAUCACUUGGAGAAGAGACACCCCAGACAGCCAACAACCAGCAUCAAAUUAUGAAAUAAAUC